UUUUUUUUUUUUUAGGUGGAGUCUCGCUAUGUUGCCCAGGCUGGAGAGCAGUGGUGCAAUCCUGGCUUACUGCAACCUCUGCCUCCUGGCUUCAAGCAAUUCUCCUGCCUCAGCCUCCCAAGUAGCUGGGACUACAGGCUCUGCAGUACCUACCUACCAUGUUACUGUCUUGGUUGUUGGUCUCUCCAGUUGGUAAUACAAGCAUUUCCCACACAUGUACAGAAAGCAAAAAGGACAACAAUAUGAAAUGAAGUGACAACAUCUGUGCCAAUGUAUGGCAUUUACCUGUCACAGUUAGUGUGGCUGUACAGCUGACACUGCCAUACUCAUUGGAAGCUUUGCAUGUAUACUCGCCGCAGUCAACCACCUGGGUUCUCAGGAUUUCAAGGCUGGAGAUAUACUUUGAAGAUCGAAUAGAACACUUGUCACUCUCAUAAAUUUCUCGGCCAGCUUUAAACCACUGGAACCGGACAUUGGGAGCACUUUGGAUCUCACAGCAUAUAAGCAUUAGAAGACAGGACUCAAGUGUCUGCUGGCUGUAAAAAUACUGGAGAAACUCAUCUAUAGCAUGCAGAAUACAUAUUCAGACUCAGGUUGGCUGUGCUUGAUACUUGGCCUACAGCAUUACUAGCAACAAACGUCUUCUUCCUUUGGUGAACUGAAUGAGGCACCAGGAUACACAUGAACUGCCACUGGACAUGAACUGCACACAAUAAGUGAGUUAACAGAAACCCGGCAUUGAAAACGGGCUGGCUGCCCUUCAGAAGUGACAGUGUCCUGAAGCGGGGUGAUGAUGGCAGGUGGAU
rnacentral:lncRNA from 10 species